UACGGGGGGAGCAAGCGUUGUUCGGAUUUACUGGGCGUAAAGGGCGCGUAGGCGGUCAGCACAAGUCAGUUGUGAAAUCUCCGGGCUUAACUCGGAAAGGUCAACUGAUACUGUGCGACUAGAGUGCAGAAGGGGCAACUGGAAUUCUCGGUGUAGCGGUGAAAUUCGUAGAUAUUCGGAAGAACACCAGUGGCGAAGGCGGCUCACUGGUCCGGUACUGACGCUGAGGUGCGAAAGCGUGGGGAGCAAACAGG
rnacentral:rRNA from 1 species